rnacentral:antisense_RNA from 1 species
UUUCGCAUUUGGGUUGUUAUCAACAAUCGCAUUACCAACGGCGUGCAAUAAGUGUGUUUUACCUAGCCCGGUACCACCGUA